rnacentral:rRNA from 1 species
ACACGCAUGACACACUGCAUAUCAAUAAGCGGAGGAAAAGAAACUAACAAGGAUUCCCUUAGUAACGGCGAGUGAAGCGGGAAGAGCUCAAAUUUGAAAAUCUUCAAGGUUCUACCUUGACGAAUUGUAGUUUAUAGAAGUGUUUUCUGUUAGUAGGAGUGGCAAAAGUUCUUUGGAAUAGGACAUCAUAGAGGGUGAGAAUCCCGUAUUUGGUCACUUCCUUCUAGCCUUGUGAUACACUUUCAACGAGUCGGAUUGUUUGGGAAUGCAGUCCAAAAUGGGUGGUAAAUUUCAUCUAAAGCUAAAUAUUGGCGAGAGACCGAUAGCGAACAAGUACCGUGAGGGAAAGAUGAAAAGAACUUUGAAAAGAGAGUUAAACAGUACGUGAAAUUGUCAAAGAGGGAAGCGUUUGACACCAGUGUUGUUUUCUCCGAAAAUCAAUUACGAAUGUUUUAUUUUUGAGAAGUUAUGACUUCAUCGGCUUGCUUCUCUCUUUAUGAAACUUUCUUAAUGCACUUUUCGGUUAACAAGUCAACAUCAAUUUCUUUUGUUGUAAAAGGGAAUGAGGAAGGUGGCUUUCUUUUCGGAGAAAGUGUUUAUAGCCUUGUACCUCUGCAAUCGGAGAGAUUGAGGUCUGCAGCGUAGAUCCUUCGGGGUUAGAUACAUUUGUGCUAGGUUAUAGCUUUUCAUAGACAACUUGUUGACUAUGUUUAGUCUUGUAGCUUACUCGCUUAUGCUAUUUUACCUACGCUUAGGAUGUUGACGCAUGAGAUAUACGC